GCAUCCAUUAAAGACACAGCAGAUGUGCCUUGCGCUGCUCCCAGAUUCUUCCCUGUGCUGAUUGUUGGAAUCCCCCAAUCUGUAGGCAAGGUGUGAUGCUACAAUAUCUGGACAGCAUGUGUUGGUUUGAAUACCAGAAACAGUCACGCUGGGGUUUGAAUGGAGGGACCAUGCAGGCGAUCCAUGAUUAUAGUAUAUUGACUGUGUACUUUACUGUAUGGCUGGGAAACCACAUGAAUAGGGACCGUGCUCUCGGACGCCGGUGUCUCUGACUCCGUACCUUCCUUGUCCCCCUUUUCUCAUGGGGACUUGGACGAUACAGACUCAUGAUAUGGUGGUCUGUUUUUAUAAAACAAAUAGUGACAUAAUUUAUUUUUGCUCUGAAUAUUAGGUUUAUCCACGCCAACCCCUUGAAUUGGGUGGGCUUCUGGGAUCACACAAAGGUGACACCCUGAUGCCCAGCCCUAAUUGGUAUUGGAGGUACUUUCAAGUAGCCACUUGGGGGUUCUCUAUAUACCCUUGGGAUUUGGCAUGGUUGCAGUAAUGCUGGCAAAUCUAAAGGGAUCGCCAUUGUGGUCUCACACUCCAUGAUGCCCCUCUGAUAGAUACCUAGACACAGAGACCGAUGAUUACUCGUGGGUCUUCUAUGGUCUGGCCAGCGGUAUGCUGCUUUAUAAAUGGAGCUUUGAGUUAGUAGUUUCACUUGACAAUCAUGUAUUUGAUCUAGUUUUCACUUGACAAUCAUGUAUUUUUACCAACAUUACUAUUGUAUUUUAAAUGAGAUGCACUUUAUUAUGAGGUCACCACGAUUAAUUAUGUUAACACUAUGAUUGGACAGAUGAAUUAUGCCUUUUAAAAGUAUAUUUGUGAUCUAUUCAGCACUUUAUUACUUAAUUAUGGAUGUUAAUUGCUCACACUAUUUAUGUAUAACACUGUGCACAUGUAUUCAGCUGGACAAAGGCUAGAGAGAGCUGAAACGUUGCUGCUAGAUGGGUUAAUAAACCAUCCACUUUUUUCAUCACUAUUUUCUGGAGUGCUGCCU